UACAGAGGUCUCAAGCGUUGUUCGGAUUCAUUGGGCGUAAAGGGUGUGUAGGUGGCGCGCUAAGUCGGGUGUGAAAUUUCGGAGCUUAACUCCGAAACUGCAUUCGAUACUGGCGUGCUUGAGGACUGGAGAGGAGACUGGAAUCCAUGGUGUAGCAGUGAAAUGCGUAGAGAUCAUGAGGAAGACCAGUGGCGAAGGCGGGUCUCUGGACAGUUCCUGACACUGAGACACGAAGGCCAGGGGAGCAAACGGG
rnacentral:rRNA from 1 species